GCUAAUCUGCGAUAAGCGCCGGUAAGGUGAUAUGAACCGUUAUAACCGGCGAUACCCGAAUGGGGAAACCCAGUGUGAUUCGUCACACUAUCAUUAACUGAAUCCAUAGGUUAAUGAGGCGAACCGGGGGAACUGAAACAUCUAAGUACCCCGAGGAAAAGAAAUCAACCGAGAUUCCCCCAGUAGCGGCGAGCGAACGGGGAGGAGCCCAGAGCCUGAAUCAGCAUGUGUGUUAGUGGAAGCGUCUGGAAAGGCGCGCGAUACAGGGUGACAGCCCCGUACACAAAAGCGCAUGUGCUGUGAGCUCGAUGAGUAGGGCGGGACACGUGGUAUCCUGUCUGAAUAUGGGGGGACCAUCCUCCAAGGCUAAAUACUCCUGACUGACCGAUAGUGAACCAGUACCGUGAGGGAAAGGCGAAAAGAACCCCGGCGAGGGGAGUGAAAAAGAACCUGAAACCGUGUACGUACAAGCAGUGGGAGCCCCACCACCAAAGCAUUCUCUGGUGUUGAAGGCCCUGCAAAGCAGCAUCGCGGUGGCGGAGCGUCGUUUGCGACGCCCAACACACAAAACAAGCGGUGAAUGCUUUGGGGUGGGGUGACUGCGUACCUUUUGUAUAAUGGGUCAGCGACUUAUAUUCUGUAGCAAGGUUAACCGAAUAGGGGAGCCGGAGGGAAACCGAGUCUUAAUUGGGCGUUAAGUUGCAGGGUAUAGACCCGAAACCCGGUGAUCUAGCCAUGGGCAGGUUGAAGGUUGGGUAACACUAACUGGAGGACCGAACCGACUAAUGUUGAAAAAUUAGCGGAUGACCUGUGGCUGGGGGUGAAAGGCCAAUCAAACCGGGAGAUAGCUGGUUCUCCCCGAAAGCUAUUUAGGUAGCGCCUCGUGAAUUCAUCUCCGGGGGUAGAGCACUGUUUCGGCUAGGGGGCCAUCCCGGCUUACCAACCCGAUGCAAACUGCGAAUACCGGAGAAUGUUAUCACGGGAGACACACGGCGGGUGCUAACGUCCGUCGUGAAGAGGGAACAACCAGACCGCCAGCUAAGGUCCCAAAGUCA
rnacentral:rRNA from 1 species